GGGAUUGCCUUAGUAGCGGCGAGUGAAGCGGCAAUAGCUCAAAUUUGAAAUCUGGCACCUUCGGUGUCCGAGUUGUAAUUUGAAGAAGGUAUCUUUGGUUUUGGCUCUUGUCUAUGUUCCUUGGAACAGGACGUCACAGAGGGUGAGAAUCCCGUGCGAUGAGAUGCCCAAUUCCAUGUAAAGUUCCUUCGACGAGUCGAGUUGUUUGGGAAUGCAGCUCUAAGUGGGUGGUAAAUUCCAUCUAAAGCUAAAUAUUGGCGAGAGACCGAUAGCGAACAAGUACUGUGAAGGAAAGAUGAAAAGAACUUUGAAAAGAGAGUGAAAAAGUACGUGAAAUUGUUGAAAGGGAAGGGCUUGAGAUUAGACUUGGAAUUUUCCAUUUAUGGAGCUUUCCGGGCCAGCAUCAGUUUGGAUGGCAGGAUAAUUGCGUUGGAAAGUAGCACCACUUCGGUGGUGUGUUAUAGACUUCGUCGAUACUGCCUAUCUAGACUGAGGACCGCGUCUUUGACUAGGAUGCUGGCGUA
rnacentral:rRNA from 1 species